rnacentral:rRNA from 2 species
GGUUCCUGUCCAACGUUAAUCGGGGCAGGGUGAGUCGACCCCUAAGGCGAGGCCGAAAGGCGUAGUCGAUGGGAAACAGGUUAAUAUUCCUGUACUUGGUGUUACUGCGAAGGGGGGACGGAGAAGGCUAUGUUGGCCGGGCGACGGUUGUCCCGGUUUAAGCGUGUAGGCUGGUUUUCCAGGCAAAUCCGGAAAAUCAAGGCUGAGGCGUGAUGACGAGGCACUACGGUGCUGAAGCAACAAAUGCCCUGCUUCCAGGAAAAGCCUCUAAGCAUCAGGUAACAUCAAAUCGUACCCCAAACCGACACAGGUGGUCAGGUAGAGAAUACCAAGGCGCUUGAGAGAACUCGGGUGAAGGAACUAGGCAAAAUGGUGCCGUAACU